CUCUCAGGACAGACAGACACCAUAGAAAGUACAUCAGCCAGGGGGCAGUGUCAGAGACGCAGCACUGGGAGAGGAGGACAUCGUCAGGCUGGCCCAGGACCAGGAGGAGAUGAAGGUGAACCUGCAGGAGCUGCGGGGCAGGUGUUGCAGCUUGUGGGCGACCACAAGGAGGGGCAUGGCAAAUUCUGACCAUUGCCCAGAACCCUGCUGAUGAGCCCACUCUAGGAGCCCCAAUCGCCCGGGAGCUUGGGUGUGCGGACAAGCAGGGUGGUGAGUAGAGCCCUCAGGCGGGGUGGGCAGGCAGGAGCAGGGGAGGAUCGAACUGUGCUCAGAUUCCCACCCCCCUCUCUCUCUCUCUCUCUGAAGAUCUUUGUGAGGUGAGCCUCACUGAUAGCAUGGAGGCUGUACCAGGAGAGGACAGGGAGGGUUCUCCCCAUGACAACCCCACUGCACAGCAGAUCCAGCAGCUGCUUCCUGUAAUGCAGGACUCCCCAGGAGCACCCAGGCAUGGGCAGCAACCCCUGCAUGCCAUUCUUUUUGGGCUGCCGAGAACAGGGAGAUAAACACCACCAUCAUCUAAGAGCCGGGGAGGGGAGGGCGUAGGUGUGGGAAUGGCAAGGUUCCUGGUAAAGGGGCUGGAAGGGAAAGGGGAGGAAGAUGGAGGGAGAAGCUGGAGUGCCUGGGGGCUGUGGCAGCCCUCCCCACCCCACACACACUGGCCUCUCCCACGGCACCCAGGCAGUCCACCCACAGUUCAGACCAAUGCUCAACCCCCUCAGGCUUCCGCUUCUCUGGUCACCGUCUUCCAACGCACUGGCCCAGGGCCACCUCUUGCUUGGGGAGCCCCACCCAACAGCCACCAAGCCUGACAGAAGGAACACUGCUUGAACCAAAAUGGUGAAGCUAUAAGGGAUGGCUGGCUGGAGUGAAUGCCAGAGGCCCCUCUGGGCUGUCUGAAAGCCCAGGGUCCUCUGAGGGACCCUGGGGAAGGCAGGAAGGGCAGGUAGCCGGAUGCCAUUGGCCAUAGACUUCUAAGUCUAACAGGGGAGCCUCAACUGGUUGGUGGAGGGCUGCAGGUUGCAUAGGUGAGGCUGGGCCCUUCCUGCUGGGAAAAGCAGAAGAGGGAGACUCUGUGGCAGUAAAGGGAAGUGAGCUGUCUAGGCGGAGCUCAGCUAGGCCAGCAUGCAUUGUGGGCCCCUUGGCUGAAUAGCACAGGCGACCCCUAGAAGCAACAGGCCAAGGUGCGUGAGCCUGCUGGCCAGCAGUAGUGCUUCAGCAGGGGCCAGGGACCCUGCCUUCAGUCGCACGCUA